CCUACGGGUGGCAGCAGUGGGGAAUAUUGGACAAUGGGGGGAACCCUGAUCCAGCGACGCCGCGUGAGUGAAGACGUAUUUAGGUAUGUAAAGCUCUAUCAGCAGGGAAGUAAAUGACGGUACCUGACUAAGAAUCCCCGGCUAACUACGUGCCAGCAGCCGCGGUAAUACGUAGGGGGCAAGCGUUAUCCGGAUUUACUGGGUGUAAAGGGAGCGUAGACGGUUUAGCAAGUCUGAUGUGAAAGGUCGGGGCUCAACCCCGGGACUGCAUUGGAAACUGUUAAACUUGAGUACAGGUGAGGUAGGCGGAAUUCGUGGUGUAGCGGUGAAAUGCGUAGAUAUUAGGAAGAACCCCAAUGGCGAAGGCAGCUUACUAGACUGUAACUGACAUUGAUGCUCGAAAGCGUGGGGAGCAAACAGGAUUAGAUACCCGUGUAGUC
rnacentral:rRNA from 1 species